GACGGUAACAGGAAACAGCUUGCUGCUUCGCUGACGAGUGGCGGACGGGUGAGUAAUGUCUGGGAAACUGCCUGAUGGAGGGGGAUAACUACUGGAAACGGUAGCUAAUACCGCAUAACGUCGCAAGACCAAAGAGGGGGACCUUCGGGCCUCUUGCCAUCGGAUGUGCCCAGAUGGGAUUAGCUAGUAGGUGGGGUAACGGCUCACCUAGGCGACGAUCCCUAGCUGGUCUGAGAGGAUGACCAGCCACACUGGAACUGAGACACGGUCCAGACUCCUACGGGAGGCAGCAGUGGGGAAUAUUGCACAAUGGGCGCAAGCCUGAUGCAGCCAUGCCGCGUGUAUGAAGAAGGCCUUCGGGUUGUAAAGUACUUUCAGCGGGGAGGAAGGGAGUAAAGUUAAUACCUUUGCUCAUUGACGUUACCCGCAGAAGAAGCACCGGCUAACUCCGUGCCAGCAGCCGCGGUAAUACGGAGGGUGCAAGCGUUAAUCGGAAUUACUGGGCGUAAAGCGCACGCAGGCGGUUUGUUAAGUCAGAUGUGAAAUCCCCGGGCUCAACCUGGGAACUGCAUCUGAUACUGGCAAGCUUGAGUCUCGUAGAGGGGGGUAGAAUUCCAGGUGUAGCGGUGAAAUGCGUAGAGAUCUGGAGGAAUACCGGUGGCGAAGGCGGCCCCCUGGACGAAGACUGACGCUC
rnacentral:rRNA from 1 species